AAAAAGUCAGACCCGGAAAUCCUUUCUCUUAUCCAGAACACUCAGCCACGAGCAGACGGCAGUUCUGCAGCUCGGCUCUGUUUUUCAUGAAGUCUGCAAACUGGAGAGCUUGUAUCAUGCUUGGGAGUCAACGCUCAGAUGGGCAAAUAACAAUGAGAAACCUGACCCAUGAUUGGUACACCUGAGAGGAGGACCAUUAGCCACUGUAUCAUAAAGAUGGCCAGUAUUGGAUUUUGAAGCAUGGACAUGAGAUGUCAUCCUGUGGUCAUGGGAAAUGCACUCCAUUGUACUUUGAGUUGAUCAGGAGUUUCAGAUGUCAUCCUGUGGUCACGGGAAAUGCCCUGCAUGCACUCCAUUGUACUUGGUGCUGAUCCGGAGAUGAACAGUUGGAGCAUCAGGGAAAUGAAGACGCCCCAGUGCUUCAUCACAUCACUGGUUAAAGAGUGCAGGACACAUUACCUACAGAGAGGCUUCAUUUUAAAGUGUAUCUGAAGCUGAAUAUCCACAGAAAGAAGGGAGGCCUCAGCUAUUUGCCAUCAUUAUGUUUUCUUUAAAUGUUUUUUCCUUUUUAAUAAAACCUUUCUGCAAGAAA